UCAAACUUGGUCAUUUAGAGGAAGUACAAGUCGUAACAAGGUUUCCGUAGGUGAACCUGCGGAAGGAUCAUUAACGAAUCGUAUGAUGUUGUGUGGUUGUGAUGUUGUGUGGUUGUGAUUGUGUAUGAUCCUAUAUGAUUGUGUGUGUGUGUGGAUACACAUGCAAUUGUGCAAUCAUGCACAUUACACAUACACCAUACACACCAUACACAUUAGCCCUCCCUGAUAUUGGGAAGUGCAUAUUCAUGCUAUUAUUGUGUUGUUGUGGUGGUAGGUGUAUAUAUGUAUGAUGUAUGUAUAUGCAUGUAUGUAUAACAUAUAGCAUAUACACAUUUAUACACCAAUGUGCAUAAAUAGAUAACUUUUAACAAUGGAUCUCUAGGCUCUUGCAUCGAUGAAGAACGCAGC
rnacentral:misc_RNA from 1 species